AGCGAACGCUGGCGGCAGGCCUAACACAUGCAAGUCGAACGAAGUCUUCGGACCUAGUGGCGGACGGGUGAGUAACACGUGGGAACGCGCCUUUAGGUUCGGAAUAACUCAGGGAAACUUGUGCUAAUACCGAAUGUGCCCUUCGGGGGAGAGAUUUAUCGCCCUUAGAGCGGCCCGCGUCUGAUUAGCUAGUUUGUGAGGUAAAGGCUCACCAAGGCUACGAUCAGUAGCUGGUCUGAGAGGAUGACCAGCCGCAUUGGGACUGAGACACGGCCCAAACUCCUACGGGAGGCAGCAGUGGGGAAUCUUGCGCAAUGGGCGAAAGCCUGACGCAGCCAUGCCGCGUGGAUGAUGAAGGUCUUAGGAUUGUAAAAUCCUUUCCCCGGUGAAGAUAAUGACUGUAGCCGGAGAAGAAGCCCCGGCUAACUUCGUGCCAGCCGCCGCCGUAAAAC
rnacentral:rRNA from 1 species